AGUGAACGCUGGCGGUAUGCCUAACACAUGCAAGUCGAACGGCAGCACAGUAAGAGCUUGCUCUUACGGGUGUCGAGUGUCGGACGGGUGAGUAAUACAUCGGAAUCUACUUUUUCGUGGGUGAUAACGUAGGGAAACUUACGCUAAUACCGCAUACGACCUACGGGGGAAAGCAGGGGAUCUUCGGACCUUUCGCUAUUGAAUGAGCCGAUGUCGGAUUAGCUAGUUGGCUGGGUAAAGGCGCACCAAGGCGACGAUGCGUAGCUGGUCUGAGAGGAUGAACAGACACCUUGGCACUGAGACACGGUCCAGACUCCUACGGGAGGAAGCAGUGGGGAAUAUUGGACAAUGGGCGAAAGCCUGAUACAGCCAUACCGCGUGAGUGAAGAAGGCCUUCGGGUUGUAAAGCCAUUUUGUUGGGAAAGAAAAGAAGCAGGUUAAUCCCCCGCUGUUAUGACGGUACCCAAAGAAUAAGCACCGGCUAACUUCGUG
rnacentral:rRNA from 1 species